CGGGACGUGGCGCAGUUUGGUAGCGCGCCUGCUUUGGGAGCAGGAUGUCGCAGGUUCGAAUCCUGUCGUCCCGA
rfam:Cryptobacterium curtum DSM 15641, complete genome.